AAAUGUUAGGAAAGUCCAUGCUAGCACAGUCUGCGAUGACUGUAGUGUUUGUGCUCACAUAUAACCAAUAAGGUGAGGUACUAGAAAUAGUAACGGCGAGGCGAUGACCUAAGUACUUGUAUAUGGUUAUCCUUGUAACGUGCCGCAGUGACGAAUAGGUAGAAAUACUGAAAUGAAACGUUGGUAAACCCCGCAAGCUAGAAACCCAAAUUUUGGUAGGGGAGUGAAGAUAGCAAGAAUUGAAUUGCUUCUUUGAUGAUUUAUUCAUAGAUAGAUGAUUACCCACGACAGAACAUGGCUUAUAA
rnacentral:RNase_P_RNA from 1 species